GCAAUCUCUAUGGUAACCACAUUUCCCAGUUGACUACUACCGGUAAUAAAAUCAAAUGGAUUCAGUGCUCACAACUCUUCAGUCUUUGGGCUACUUUCCAUUCUUGAAUUUUUAGCUGAAUUCAUCUCUUUGGCUGGAUUUUGUGGAUCGGGCAGCCAUUAGAACCAAAACAGUUCUGAGGAGCUCCCAGGCUGCAAUGUGGUGCGAAAUGUUUUAUGGACAGAAAAUGGAAAUGAGGUGCAGAAAUUGGAGGCUAAGAAUAAACUUGAAGACAAAGAGUAGAUUUUGGCCAGACACUGAUGCUAAAGUCACCCCGAUGCUGUCUUUGCUUCUAAGGAAAGUCACGUUUCAGUGUUUUGGUUUUGGUGAAUGCCCACAACAAGGCUAGUGAAGGAAGGAGGCAUAGUAGGAAGCUGUUGGCCAGACGAGCUUUUAGAAGACCCUUGCUACAUAGAGAGGACGUAGAAAAUGUCUUUAUCAUUAGGUGUAUUUCCAGGCUGAGACAAUACAAAAGAUGGACAGCUCUAAGUUGAUUAUCAAGCUUUAAAUAUGUUUCACUUGAUUAAGAACAUUGAAGGUGAGAAUGGAAUUAUGUAGGCUUCACUGAGUAUCCGUAAAGUUGGGAACAAUGAUAUACAACACAGAAAAGAAGCUCCAUAAGAAAACAGCUGCAACUAACCCAUCUGGAAAGAGACCUCAAUCAAAAUGAUACUUAGCGAAAGAAAAAUACUUUCAGUGAUCAAAUUAUUUGUCUGACCAAUGCUUGGUGGAAAGAUUCCACAUUACUAGUUAUUUGUAAUGGGUAAUUGCACAAUAUACUGUAUUGUUCAAUCUGGUGUGAAUGAAAGUGGGGACUUUCACCAGUGUAACCAUCCCAAAUUUGCAUCUUGUCUGAUGCUAACUGAGGAAGAAGGGCACCUGGAGUUUGACCAGCAGGAACAAAACAUGUUAAAAUUGUUGCAGAAGAUGAUGAGGACUUCACAAGUGUGGCAUCUCAUGUAUUCUAAAGUAUAUGGUGACCAUCUAAGGAAGUUGGUUUGAAUGUGCAGGUCUAGCAAAGAACAUGCCCUGGAUAUAAAACCUAGGAAUCACCAUCUGAUCGAAGAUGGAGAUGAAUGACUUCACCCUAGGGCAAGAAGGACUUAAGAAGAAUAGGAAGGAUGGCAGGAAUGGAGGAAAACAUUUUGGAUGGAAAGAUGAGACACUGAAACAAUUUGAAGAUUGGAAGGUGAGAGUCUGAGGUCCAAAGCUUUACACCAGUUGUUGAAGAACCUUGAUCACAGGCCAGCCAGGACCUCAAAGGCUCAAGAGAAAUGAUGACAAGGUUUGCUUGGCUUAUUUAGUGAGUCUCUGUCUCCCGCCUUCUUUUCCUCCUGUACGACCUAAAACUGUCUUUUGUCUUUCAGCACUUGGGGAGAAACUCUGGGAAGCUUUCUAAAUCCCUAAAUUUGUCACACCCAUCCUUAAAGCAGUGCUGAAUUAAAAAGUGGGAUUCGUCUAAGCAGAGGAGAUACUUAAGGAAGGAGAGGGGCUACAGCACUAAAUGAUGUUUCCAAUUAAGAGAAGUGUAAGGUCAGAGAGAAACUCCCUCCUGGAUGGAGCUCUUCACCACCUGAUGAGCUGAUUAAAUAUCAUGCCGCAAAAAGUAAAUGUUUACUCCAAGCCAGGUGCUUGGACUCUAAAGAACUCUAUUAGGCAAGAGUCUUUCUUCACUGACAAUGGCACCCCACUAAUGGAGUGUGCAAAUCCAGGAAGACCAGUGUUUGAACGUUGUGGGGUAAAGUGCCGAUAGGUGAAAUUUCAGUCUUUAUUCAAGAUCAAGUGCAACUGUCUCUUUGAGGAAAGUCCUUUGACCGCCAUUUCUCCCCUUCAGAAGGCAAACACCUGGGGGAGAAGAUCUGCUUAAGGACCUGGUAACUGACAAAGAAUGGAAUGGGAGCGAGAACCGCCUAGCCAUCCCUUCUCCUUGCACAGUCAUGAAACAAAAGUUGAAAAGGAGCCUGGUUUUACUUGACCAGUCAUAAAUUACCAUAAAAUAAAAUGAGAUAUUAGGA
rnacentral:lncRNA from 10 species